rnacentral:rRNA from 1 species
GCCUCAAUUAUAUUAUUUGAGGUAUUACCUGCUCAAUGCGAGAGUAAAUAGCCGCAGUAUUCUGACUGUGCAAAGGUAGCAUAAUAAUUUGGCCUUUAAUUGGGGUCUAGAAUGAAUGGUUUGACGAGGGUUUGACUGUCUCGUGAUUAGAGUUAUUGAAAUUGAAUUGUGUGUAAAAAUGCAUACAUGAGAGAGAGGGACGAGAAGACCCUAUAGAUCUUUAAAGGAUUGAUUAAUAAUGAAUAUUUAAUUAUUUCUUUUUAUUUGGGGAGAAUCUUGAAAUAUUUAAACUUCGGUUAAGAAUAAAAAUAAAAUUUUGAUCUUUGAUCCACUUUAUAGUGAAAAAAUGAAAAAGUUACCUUAGGGAUAACAGGACAAUGAUUUCUCAGAAGAUCUUAUUUUGAGAAACGUUUGUUACCUCGAUGUUGAAUUAAGUUAUCUAAUUAAAGGAGAAAUUCUUAAAGUUGGUCUGUUCGACCAUUAAAAAC